rnacentral:rRNA from 1 species
GACGAACGCUGGCGGCGUGCCUAAUACAUGCAAGUAGAACGCUGAAGAGAGGAGCUUGCUCUUCUUGGAAGAGUUGCGAACGGGUGAGUAACGCGUAGGUAACCUGCCUUGUAGCGGGGGAUAACUAUUGGAAACGAUAGCUAAUACCGCAUAACAAUGGGUGACCCAUGUCAUUCAUUUGAAAGGGGCAACUGCUCCACUACAAGAUGGACCUGCGUUGUAUUAGCUAGUAGGUGAGGUAACGGCUCACCUAGGCGACGAUACAUAGCCGACCUGAGAGGGUGAUCGGCCACACUGGGACUGAGACACGGCCCAGACUCCUACGGGAGGCAGCAGUAGGGAAUCUUCGGCAAUGGGGGCAACCCUGACCGAGCAACGCCGCGUGAGUGAAGAAGGUUUUCGGAUCGUAAAGCUCUGUUGUAAGUCAAGAACGAGUGUGAGAGUGGAAAGUUCACACUGUGACGGUAGCUUACCAGAAAGGGACGGCUAACUACGUGCCAGCAGCCGCGGUAAUACGUAGGUCCCGAGCGUUGUCCGGAUUUAUUGGGCGUAAAGCGAGCGCAGGCGGUUUGAUAAGUCUGAAGUUAAAGGCUGUGGCUCAACCAUAGUUCGCUUUGGAAACUGUCAAACUUGAGCGCAGAAGGGGAGAGUGGAAUUCCAUGUGUAGCGGUGAAAUGCGUAGAUAUAUGGAGGAACACCGGUGGCGAAAGCGGCUCUCUGGUCUGUAACUGACGCUGAGGCUCGAAAGCGUGGGGAGCGAACAGG